rnacentral:rRNA from 1 species
UACGGGGGGGGCAAGCGUUGCUCGGAAUCACUGGGCGUAAAGGGUGCGUAGGCGGGUCUUUUAAGUCAGGGGUGAAAUCCUGGAGCUCAACUCCAGAACUGCCUUUGAUACUGAAGAUCUUGAGUUCGGGAGAGGUGAGUGGAACUGCGAGUGUAGAGGUGAAAUUCGUAGAUAUUCGCAAGAACACCAGUGGCGAAGGCGGCUCACUGGCCCGAUACUGACGCUGAGGCACGAAAGCGUGGGGAGCAAACAGG